GACGAACGCUGGCGGCGUGCUUAACACAUGCAAGUCGAGCGGAGAGGCCCUUCGGUGUACUCGAGCGGCGAACGGGUGAGUAACACGUGAGUAAUCUGCCCUUGGCUUUGGGAUAACUACCGGAAACGGUGUCUAAUACCGGACACGACAACCGUCUGCAUGGGCUGGGUGUGGAAAGGUCUGUCGGCCAGGGUUGGGCUCGCGGCCUGGCAGCUGGUUGGUGGGGUAAUGGCCGACCAAGGCUUCGCCGGGUAGGCGGCGUGCGGGGGUCACCGGCCACGCUGGGACUGCGACACGGCGACGGCUCCUCCGGGCGGCCGCCGUCGGGAGUCUUGGGUAGUGGGCGGAGGCCUGUUCCCGCAACGCCGCGUGAGCGAUGCCGGCUUUCGGGUUGUAGUCUUCUUUCUGUACCGCCGAAGCGGCGAUGAUGGUGGUGACGGUAGGUGCAGAAGAAGCACCGGCCAACUACGUG
rnacentral:rRNA from 1 species